rnacentral:lncRNA from 1 species
GCUAUGGUUACGGCCCUUGCCUCUGGUCCAGAGGCUCCAAAAAGGGAGGGCGCAUGGGUCCCAGGCCCCCUCCAUUCUUCCCAGCCUCUGCUCCCUCCUGACCCACAAGCCUGGAAUCCGUGGCACAGGGAGAGGCUUCGUGUCCAUCCAGCGCCCCCAGCAGCCCUGCCUGGGGACCCAUUUUACAGGUCAAGAAACUGAAGGUCGGAAUUAAGUACCUGGCCCCGGUCUGGUGAACGGAAAGUCAUUCUGGUCUCACAGUGAGUUAGCCCCUGCCCACCCAACAGCCCUCAUCUCUUCUAAUUCUCUCAGCCAUCUUCCAGGAGAGGGGCGGGGCCUCCCAGCCGCCCAGCUUGAGGGACCCUUGAAGAUGGCCUUUCCACACCGGCCUGGAAACUGGCGCUGUGGUUCCGAGGACAGCUGAGGGAGAAAGCGUCUUUUGGAAGCUGUUUCCUGAUUCCCACGAAGGCCUCGUCCUCAUGAAAACGGCAGUGCCCCUCGGGGGUCUGGCCUCGCUCCAGCUCGGCCUCUGACCUCCUCGCUUGCCAGCUGCCACCAACACCCAGGGCGUCCACACCCGCCAGUCUUGAAACAGCCCGCUGGGCGUUCCUGCCCAGGCGCGGGUCUCUUUUGUCCCCACGUGGUGACGUGUCACCCUCUCCUCUUCUCACUCUGUCCUCGGCACCUGUCCUUCGAGCGCAUCCACACCCCUCUGUGUAUUGGUGUCGGACAUUGGGUGCCUGCUGCCUUUCCUGCUGCGUCCCCAGCACCUGGCCCGGGGGGAAAUGCUCAAUUAGCACAGGGUGAAUGUGCGAACGAAUGAAGGAGCGAACGAAUGAGUGAGCUGCCUGCUCCAGUCAUGGCAGCCCACCCCAUUUGCCCAGGGUCUUCGCAUGGUCUUGAGGUUAGGCACCUUGGGAUGGCGUUGGGGACUGCCUCCGCUGGGGGGAGUUUGAGGACCACGGUCCCUCUAACACCCGGACUGAGACCCCGGCGGCCGCGUCUGAACAGGGCGCUGGGGGACAACCAAGGAGCGAGCAGACGGGCGCUGCACUCGGGCGCCGGCCAUCCCAGCCAUCGCCACCGGGGGGCAGCACCAGCCUGGCUUCCUCGCUCUGGGCUCUGCGGGGCGGAGCGGUGGCCAUCCUGGGCAGGGCCACCCUGCCACCCCCCCCUUUAGGGCGGGCCUGGCCCCACCGGGAGCCAGGAGGCCUCGCUGGGCCCCUCCUGGGCCUCUUCUGUGACAAUCAGUUCUCUGCGAGGCUCGGGGCUCCUGGAGACUGUUUCGUUUGUUUUUAACUUUUGUGUCCCCAACAUAAGGCCUGGCAUGGAUGGGGAAGGAGGGGUUUUACGUAGCUGUGUGACCCCCGGUAGG